rnacentral:misc_RNA from 1 species
GAUGAAGAACGUAGCGAAAUGCGAUAAGUAAUGUGAAUUGCAGAAUUUUGUGAAUCAUCGAAUCUUUGAACGCACAUUGCGCCCCUUGGCAUUCCGAGGGCACACCUGUUCGAGCGCCGUUUUACAACUAAGGCUCAGCCUUGCGUUGGCCACUCCCGCACGGGAGGGCCGAAAAACAUGAAGACUCCAGCGACGGAAGCAGUACGCGAUAGUGCUAGUGACCGGAGCGAAGUGGUCUUGAUAUCUCAUCCGUAUGGCCUCGGAUCAGGUGGGGAUACCCGCUGAACUUAAGCAUAUCAAUAAGCGGAGGA